rnacentral:rRNA from 1 species
UGCCUGGCGGCCUUAGCGCGGUGGUCCCACCUGACCCCAUGCCGAACUCAGAAGUGAAACGCCGUAGCGCCGAUGGUAGUGUGGGGUCUCCCCAUCGAGAGUAGGAANGUCCAGGCUCA